rnacentral:lncRNA from 1 species
CUUCCACGAAAUAUUUAAUUAGAAUUUUUUUAAAUGUUUAUUAAUUUUCGAAAAUUCCACCUGACAACCGAUUAGACAAUAGUUUUAAGUUGAAUCAAUGCAGACAAGAUCAUUAACUGAUGCUCAUUAGCUAGUUUAUACAUUUGUCUUUUAAAAUACAACUGACAUAUACGGAUCGUAAUGGUGCAAUGUGGAUAAAUUUAUCGGUUUCAAAGAGCAAAAUUGGUAG